rnacentral:rRNA from 1 species
UAAGGAAUAUUGGACAAUGGACGCAAGUCUGAACCAGCCAUGCCGCGUGAAGGAUGAAGGUCCUCUGGAUUGUAAACUUCUUUUAUCUGGGACGAAAACGGGAUUUUUAUCUCAAUUGACGGUACCAGAGGAAUAAGCACCGGCUAACUCCGUGCCAGCAGCCGCGGUAAUACGGAGGGUGCGAGCGUUAUCCGGAUUUACUGGGUUUAAAGGGUGCGUAGGUGGGCUUAUAAGUCAGUGGUGAAAUCUCCGGGCUUAACUUGGAAACUGCCGUUGAUACUAUGGGUCUUGAAUUAUCUGGAGGUAAGCGGAAUAUGUCAUGUAGCGGUGAAAUGCUUAGAUAUGACAUAGAACACCAAUUGCGAAGGCAGCUUACUACAUAUAAAUUGACGCUGAGGCACGAAAGCGUGGGGAUCAAACA